GAUGUUGCUCUAGAUGGCGCCAUUUGUUUUCAUUUCAAUCACGUGAUCUCGUUGAGUCUAUCUUAGUUCAUGAAGAGAUGCUUGCUAUUUGUCGGACUGAGAAGCAGCAGCAAGCAAGAGGAAUUACUGCAGGAGAAACUACUGACAUACUAUUGUAAAGAUGGAGUUUGAGGAAGAACCCUGCAGAAUAAAAGAUGAAGAUACAGAGGAACAAACAAACCCAGUGGAAGUGAAUAAAGACAAACAGCAUCCGUUUCAAAAACCUCAUCAUUCCAUAAAUGAAGAUGGAGAUGCAGUUGUUUCAAAGACUGAAAAGAAUUCCAGACAAAAACGAGCUGGAAAAUCUGGAGGAUCUUUCACAUGCACUCAGUGUGGAAAUAGUUUCGUUCAGAAAGGAAG